CGUACUUGUGCCCCGCCCCUGCCGGCCCCGCGCUGUUCGGCCCCUCGCAGUUUGGCUCCUCACUGGCCGAGCCCCCCUCACCCUUAAGGCAGCCCAGCUCACUUGUGGGCCCCCCUCACCCGUGGGCCCGUCUCACCCACAGCUCACACACUGGGCACCCCAGCUCACCCGUGGGCUCUCCUCAUCUAUGGGGUGUCCCCAGCUCACCCACAGGGUUCCCACUCACCUUCAGGGAACCCGCAAGCUCAUGUAUGGGGCCCCAUGCUUGCUGGCAGGGUGGGCUCUGGCCCCAGUUCUCCUCAGGACUCACAUGGCCACACACACAUGCCUACAGCUGAGGGCAGCUGCUGACCUUCAGCUCUUGGGGGAUGAGCUGUUUAGCCCCCAGUGGGCCAAAUUAGGCCUCUGGUAACCUGCAGAGACCCCCAUGGUGACCAGGGUUGGGGGUGAGGACAGUGGGAAUAUUCUUGUUGUCUGAGACUCACAAACCAUCUCUGUGCCCUAAGAAUGCCCCAGUCUAGGAAGGCACAGGGUGAGGGCUGGGGAGCUGAGUACCCAGCACGAGGGGUCACUGCAGUGUCAGGUGGGGAGCCUGUCUUAAGGCAGACCUGAGACCACCUACUUCAGCCUAGGCACUGUCUCCCGGCGUGUGCCAUACCAGGGCCUGGACAUGGGCUCACACACCUGCUGUGCAAGUGGGCAGGCUCGGAUGCCUCUGGAGGGACCCCUGCCCCUGCACCCAGCCCCAGCAAGGGGCAUCCUCAGCUGGUGGGUGAUGGGUGAUGCGUGUCCGCAGACUCCCACCGCCAUGUUCAGUGCUGGCCUCCCUCAGCUAGGCGGGCCCUGUGGCCGGGCCGGCCCUUUGGGUGUGUUGACCACUCAGGAUCGUCCCUGCCCUGUCCACCAGUCCUUAGAGGUUUCGCACCCCUCCCCCGCCGCCCAGCGGGCGCACUGAACCCAACCUGGCCUUAUAUGGCCAUGUUCGGGUGUGGGGUGGCGGGCCGUGGCCCAGGUGGGCCUCAUGCCACAGUACCCCCCCGCCAGCCCCGCCGGGGACUGGCUGGCUGACUUGAGGGUGGGGGCUGCCCAGGCAUGGCUGCAACGGGCAGCGUCCAGGGCACUGCGGACACUCAGGUCAUGCCCAGUAAGGCCCCCACCCGGUGGCCGGUGACUGGCAGCCGGCGGCCUGGACUCUGAUUCCUGUUUUAUCUGCUUGGACUCCCCAAUCCCUGCACCUGCCUGUCCUCUGGCCACUUGGCCAGGGAGGCUCUGGAAGCCACUGUUCUGGCCUGGUCAUUGGCUGAAGCCUGAGAUGGAGCAGUGGAUGGCAGUGGACAAUCGGGCCUGCCUCGGUGCCGAGGGUCCUCGGAGGGGCCAAACCCUGCUCUGUGCCCCUUGGCUGAGGCCUUGGGGCUGCAUGGCCUGGACUUGAAGGUGGAGCUGUUUCAGACGCCCCCCUCCUUGGCGGGUGUUCAGGCUGAGUGUGGACCUUCAGGCUGGUGAAGCAGCGCAGAGACAGUUCGUUCGGUGGUUUUUCGAAAGCCGUUUUCCCCAUGGUGUCACAGUUUCUAGAAUCGACACAUUUCUAGACGCAAAUCAUAUUUUUAAAGUUCCCCUUUUCCCAAAGUUUCACAAUCUUGGUGAGUUUGUCUUAAACUUUUUUUUUUUUUCAAAUUUGGAAAAAGAUAGAAUUCGGCUUUC